CGGACAUUGGCGCAGCCUGGUAGCGCACUUCGUUCGGGAGGAAGGGGGCGCAGGUUCAAAGUCUGCAUGCCUGA
rnacentral:tRNA from 1 species